GCCGAUUGUGAAGAAGGUGGAGGCUUGGAUUCACAGUCACCAGGAUUCUCAUGAGGACAAAUUAGAGCACCUGUCACUAUAGCCAGCACUCAAGAAAUGGGAUUAUCAUCAGAGGGAAAAAUGCACAGCCUCACCAGCUAUUAAACAUAUGGAAAUGAUGACAAUUUAAAGCUUAUAAAUAACAUUAGCGGUGGCUUGGAUUUAUUGUUGUGGCCUCCGGAAGAACUUGGGCACAGUGUAACUUCCUGGGGCCCGAGGUUGUUAAUCGGUGAAUUGUUCAUGAAGGACAGUGCUCACUGUGAAGG
rnacentral:lncRNA from 1 species